UACGUAGGAUGCAAGCGUUGUCCGGAAUUACUGGGCGUAAAGGGCGCGUAGGCGGAUACUUAAGUCGGGGGUGAAAGCCCGGGGCUCAACCUCGGAAUUGCCUUCGAUACUGGGUAUCUUGAGUUCGGGAGAGGUGAGUGGAAUGCCGAGUGUAGAGGUGAAAUUCGUAGAUAUUCGGCGGAACACCAGUGGCGAAGGCGACUCACUGGCCCGAUACUGACGCUGAUGCGCGAAAGCGUGGGAGCAAACAGG
rnacentral:rRNA from 1 species